rnacentral:rRNA from 1 species
GGGGAAUUUUGGACAAUGGGCGAAAGCCUGAUCCAGCAAUGCCGCGUGUGUGAAGAAGGCCUUCGGGUUGUAAAGCACUUUUGUCCGGAAAGAAAUCCUCUGGGUUAAUACCUCGGGGGGAUGACGGUACAGGAAGAAUAAGCACCGGCUAACUACGUGCCAGCAGCCGCGGUAAUACGUAGGGUGCAAGCGUUAAUCGGAAUUACUGGGCGUAAAGCGUGCGCAGGCGGUUUUGUAAGACGGAUGUGAAAUCCCCGGGCUUAACCUGGGAACUGCAUUCGUGACUGCAAGGCUAGAGUAUGGCAGAGGGGGGUAGAAUUCCACGUGUAGCAGUGAAAUGCGUAGAGAUGUGGAGGAAUACCGAUGGCGAAGGCAGCCCCCUGGGCCAAUACUGACGCUCAUGCACGAAAGCGUGGGGAGCAAACA